CAGGGCACCAGUUCUCUUUCAGAAGUGGGAGAAGUUCAGGUGCCCAACACCUUGAUCAGUGCCUGCUUUGUAGUAGGCAUUCAAAUACUGUGGACUGGAUGAAUGGAGUCACUUCCCUUCCAACCUGCACACCAACGUGGUGGUUGAACUGCCUCCUUUCUAAGUGCCAAAGUCUGUUUUACAAGGCUGUAAGUGAAAUCACUGACAUGGAAAUUAUAUUUUCAAAAUUAAAGGAACAAUUUUCUAA
rnacentral:lncRNA from 1 species